rnacentral:rRNA from 1 species
UACGUAGGGGGCUAGCGUUGUCCGGAAUCAUUGGGCGUAAAGCGCGCGUAGGCGGCCCGGUAAGUCCGUUGUGAAAGUCAAAGGCUCAACCUUUGAAUGCCGAUGGAUACUGCCGGGCUCGAGUCCGGAAGAGGCGAGUGGAAUUCCUGGUGUAGCGGUGGAAUGCGCAGAUAUCAGGAGGAACACCAAUAGCGAAGGCAGCUCGCUGGGACGGUACUGGCGCUAAGGCGCGAAAGCGUGGGGAGCGAACAGG